AAAAAGACCGGAGAAUUUGUGCCCCUUUUACGUCAAGCGGUGGCCACAGUAUUUCUGAGGAGCAACUUCCUCCUCCUGCUCUUGAAGUUCGGAAAUUUAGGUGGUGGCGAUGCAAAAAUUGUAUGCGUGAGAUUGGCACAGAAAGUUCAGGAGAAGAGAUUGAGAUUCCUCCUCCAAGCUGCAGAAGUAGAUUGAUCUCUCCGAACAUGGUUUCUUCUGGAAAUGCUACAACAAAUGCAUUGUUAGAGAUGAAGCAUGAUUCAACUUCACGAAAGGUUGACAAAAAGAAAGCUAUU
rnacentral:misc_RNA from 1 species